rnacentral:rRNA from 1 species
UACGUAGGGUGCGAGCGUUGUCCGGAAUUAUUGGGCGUAAAGAGCUCGUAGGCGGUUUGUCACGUCUGCUGUGAAAUCCCGAGGCUCAACCUCGGGCCUGCAGUGGGUACGGGCAGACUAGAGUGCAGUAGGGGAGACUGGAAUUCCUGGUGUAGCGGUGGAAUGCGCAGAUAUCAGGAGGAACACCGGUGGCGAAGGCGGGUCUCUGGGCUGUAACUGACGCUGAGGAGCGAAAGCGUGGGUAGCGAACAGG